UGUAAGAACUGUCCUAUCAGGAGGGCCAACGAAGGCUGUCUCUUCCGGUGUCAUGGCGUCAGUUGCAAUAUCAUGGCAAAAAAGGGAGUACUAGAUGUUUGCUAGACAACUGUUUUUUGCUUCUGUUCUCCGUUGACUGCUUAGAAAGAAGCUCGGAGACCUCCAAAUUACGCAAUGGAGGCGGUGACCUUUGAUGAUGUGGUUGUGAACUUCAGCAAUGAGGAGUGGACUUUGUUGAGUCCAUCCCAAAAGAACCUCUACAGAGAUGUGAUGGGCGAAACCUUUAGGAACAUGACUGCAAUAGGAGGACUUGGGAAUAUCCAGGAACCUGAAAAAGAAUGCAAAAUUUACUGGAGAUACUUAAGGUAAUUCGCACUCAUAAGGAGAAGGAAUGUUCCUGAGUAAUUAGUGAGUCAGGAGAAAAAUACCGCCAAGAAAUGAGGCACCAUUCAAUUUAUUGUCAGUAAUAUUAUCCGAAGACAUAUAAGGAGUUAUAACAUUCUCCCUUCAGUUUUUCUACCCAUAUAUACAUGUGAAUAUAA